CUGGGCAGCUGUUUUUGAUGCUUAAGUAAAUAACACCUUAUGAUUCAUGAAGGUUGGGGAAGAGGGAAAGACCUUAUAAAAGUUGCUACUUUACAUCUGAGUCUGCGAAAGAUGUAAACUCACCAAGAUGCUAUAACACAGUUUGAAGGUGAAAUGUUUAUGUCUGGGCGCGCAUGGCGUGGUUCUGCCGUUGUUUCAUUCGUCAGACACUUACUGAGCAUUUAAACUAUGCUUGCCCAUGUAUGCAGAGAGACACAGAGAAAUGCUUUAUUGCUCUUGUCCUCCAUGAAUUCUCACUCUAGGGAGGGGGGCAGAUGUAUAAACAGAUAAUUGCAAUACAGUGAGCUAAGUGCUAACAGAAGGAUAAAAGGAAGGCUAUAAUGGUAUGAGGAGUAUAUCCAUUUACAGUGAAAAUGGAGAGGAGGGAACAGUGUCACAGAGGAAGUGAUAUUUGAGCAGGAUGCGAUGAAAGAGGAGGCAUUUUGAAAGCAGUUGCCUUCUUUUGGCUUCUCCUAUUCUUGAGCCAACUCUUGACCCCAGGGCUUUUGCACAGUCAUUUCCCUCUGCCUGGAAAGCUCCUCCCAUUCCUCUUCCCUGGUUCAGUCCUUUAGAUCCGGGGUCCCCCAUUACUUCCUUAGGCAAGUCUGACUUCUCUAAGUCACAUCCUUUCCAAGAGAAGAGCUCAGUCAUCAAGUACCUUUUCUUCAGAGCAGUCGUCACAGCUCUGCUUUGAUGUAAUUGGCGUGAUUAUUUGAAUGAUAUCUUUCUCCCACUCCACAAAGACUGUCGUUUUGUUCAGCUUUGCUUCUUGACUAAAUUUCUAAGAUCUUCCUCUCAAUUAUAAUAGUAUCAUUAGAUGGUUAAAUUUGUAGAUGAAUGCUAAAAUACUUAAAAAUUUUUUGUUUGUGGUUUUAGAGCUUAAAUAGAUAUAAUUUAAAAAUUGUGAUUAAAAUAUAACUUAUAUACAGGAAAACAUACAGUAUAUAAACAUACCUGGCCCAAAGUGAAAAUGUGUUUACCGCCCACCCAAGUCAGGAAAUAGGUCUGGGGGCUCCCAUUGUGGCUUAGUAUAAGUUAACGAACCCGACUAGUAUCCAUGAGGAUGUGGGUUCAAUCCCUGGCCUUGCUCAGUGGGUUAAGGAUCCGGUGUUUCCAUGAGCUGUGGUGUAGGUCACAGACUCAGGUCAGAUCUGGUGUUGGUGUGGCUGUGGUGUAGGCUGGCGGCUACAGCUCCAAUUAGACCCCUAGCCUGGGAACCUCCAUGUGCCGCAGGUGUAGCCCUAAAAAGACAAAAGACCACAAAAAAAAAAAAAAAAAAAAGUCUGCAUCUAGGAGCCUGAUUUAGGAAAAUCAGUGUGUGUGCUGUGUCAGAAGUAUGAAGGGUGAGAUAGAAGAUUGCUUGCCAGAUUCUAAGAAUGCAAGCUUCUUGGAGAAAGAAGUGUUUUUAUCAGGCUUCUAGGCUACUCAUGAACUUGAAAAAGUGCCAUGUGAGAAAUAGAAACCCUAUCAUCCCCUCACAUUUUCCCAAGCAGGGCUGGAGUGCUGAGUGGGGGGUGAGCCUCAGAGGGGACAGCUUGGGUAUUUUCAAAGAAACCUUAGCUCCUGGCUCACUCCUUACCGAGAACCCUGCUUCCUUAGCACGUUCACUGAUAUGGAGCUCAGGGCUGAGCUGACAUCUUGUCACCCCAGCAUUGUACAGGGAGCGUGUUGACUCAACCAGCUUCAAGCUCACAGGUGACUUUGGGGUCACCUAUAAAAGAGUUGUGCUAGAGUACAUGGGUCUAAGUGCCUGCUCUGUCACUUAUUAACUAGGUGUUCUCUAAUCAUUUUUAGUUCUUUGCUGUAUCUGGUGCCUGAUUUAUUACAUGGGGAUGAUAAUGUUAUGUACUGCACGGAGUUUUGAGAUUUGAUACAUUCUUACAUGUAAAGUGCUUUUAACACAACCCAGCCUGAAGAAAGCUCUCAAUAUAAAAGGCUUUGUAGUUGAAAAGACCUUCUUGUUUUUGCCUUAGAAUAAUGUGGGCUUUGUUAAGGGGCGACCAAAGUCAUUUGAGGAUUUUUGAGAGAGAAGGUAGAAGGAGAGUCAAUAUUAUAAUUUUUGUAAAAGACAAUGUAUGAAAGUAACAACUGCCUUUGUAAAUGAUACUCAAAACAGGAUGAUUUUCUAGACCAGGGCUUCUGCAUAAAAAUGGAGUCACAGGUGUGGGUGGAAUGCAUCUUAGGAAGAAACAGGCAGAAUACAUGUUAAAAAGGAACAUCAAUAUGCUCUUCAAGAUUAUAAGCCAACAUUGGCGUUGUCGUUGGGGGUGGGAUGCCGUAAGGAAACGAUAAGAAUGGUGAUGAUGGUAAGAAUGAUGUGUAAUCAACAACCACCGUAGAAGGCAUACCUGUAAUUCUUAGCAGAAAUAUCAGGGGAAAGAGAUGAAUAGGAGUGACUCAGAGACUGAAACUGAAUUCAGGUUAUGGCUGGAGAAUAAGGGAAUUCAAAAUUAGCCUAGAGAGGCAAAGCAAUGAUUGGGAUAGCAGCACUGAAACGGAAGUACUGCUUAGAUAGGGUAAUGGCAAGACAGCAGAUAGAAAGAGCAUAUAAACAGGUUUGUGUGUGUAUGUAUAUAUCUCUCUGUCAUAUCAGGUACCAUGUUCAGAGAUUUCCAAUAUCGCUAUUCUGAAGACAAUUUUUAGAACUUAAUAUCAUUAGCCCCAUUUCACAGACGGGGAUACUGAGGCCAAAAACUUAAGCAUCUUGACAACAUGUCCAACACCAUGUAGACAUUGAGCAGUAGAACUGCGGUUGAGACCUAAUGAUGUCUGAAUGUACACCUGAGUCCCGUCAAACUCUAGUAUAUCCAUUCUCUUGUAUUUAUUAAGGAGAUAGGUGUCUGUAUUUAAAAACAAAACAACACCUGUCCAAUUGAAGGUAGAAGCACUAAGAACAACAUUUGGAAAAGAUUAAAGGGGUGAGAGAAAGAAGUGAUAUUACUCCGGUUCUGUAUCACAGAGUGCCAGGUCAGACAGAGGGGGUUUUAUGAUAUUUUUUCGAAGCUUGAGUUACAGAAUUAACAAGGGAGGUGAGACUUCAAAUGUCCAGACCUUGCAGUGAAUUUUGUUUUGGCUCAGAACACCAUGUGGUAAAAUCUAGACUUGCCUGUCGAACAAUUUUAAUCCUUCAAGGGUUAAAAAAAUAACCAAGGAAGCUAGAACACAAAGUUUAACUUCACAAGUGAAGAACAUUCAAAAUUGUUCUGGGAAGUGGCGGAAACCUGGGCAAAAGUCACAUUAUUUCAAAGCUCAGGGAACGAUGAGUUGGUAGUACAGUUUUUAUCUGUGCUUGAGAUGCCGAAUGGCUAAGAAGGUUUCUGUUGAAUAUCGAUUUUGAGACCCAUUAGGGAAUUUAGGUUUCUGGAGGUGUUGGGGUGGCAAGAUGGCUUCAUGUGUACUAAGUCUGCUCUAGCCUCUAAGAGUGAGAGUCCAUCUACAGAAUACAUUUGCAAUAUAUCAAGCUUUUUAUUAGCUAAAAUGUUAAGGUAUUCUGUUCAUAUGACAAGUCAGGGCUUUCCCACUCAAUGCUUAUGCAGUUCAUUUUAAAAAAUCUUAAAUGAAGGAUUUUGUUUGUUUCUACUAAACUCUGAUGUGAGCUGGUACCCACUGCUUCCUCUUGUCAAGAUUUAAUUCAGUGGGUAUGUGUGUAAAGGCCCUGGUGUGCAGAACUCUUGUGCUGAAUGAUGUAGGGAGAUGAUUGAUGCAAGAGUCUCAGGUUGGGGGUUAGCGAUGACUUUAAAAAAAACCAACAAAAACAAAUGUCUGUUAAAAGUUUUCCCUGUUAGAAGAGGGAGAGAAUACAUUCAGUUGUGUGCAGUCAGAAAAGAUAACCAGAUAACCUCUACACUGAGAAGACAAUGGUUACAUUCUGUCUUCCUGCCCUAGAAGCCAAUACAGUGCCAGGUGCACAAUCAAUCGAAAGCGGCACGUAAUAGGUGAUAAACGUUUUGUUAGGGAAACUUAAAAAAUGGGUCUUGAAGGAAAAACAGAUUUUGAUGGUUCAGAAAGGGAUGGAUGGGAAUACAUGGUAGUUGAAGGGCAAAUGUAGGUAAAUACACAGCUCCAAGUCAUAAUGAGCUUUUCGGUAAAGGUGAAUUGGUUAGUUUUUGUGGUAUAUGGGGGUAUAUUUUGGAAACUUCAAUGCUUAACAUAUUUAUAAGUCCAUUAUUUUCAAUAUCUUAUGCCAUUCAAGUCAUUAAAACAAAUAUUGUGAACAGAUCACUGACUUAAAGAUACUCUUAAAUCUUUAGAUUUUCAAUCUGAUAUUUUCAGAUCUAUUUAAAAUACUCACUAUACCACGUGCUUUCACCUGGAAUUGUUUCCCUUCUGCCUUAAAAGCUCCUUUGAGAAUUUCUUCAGUUCAGGUCUCCUGGUGAUAAGAUUCCUCAGAUGGUAUAUAAAGGACUUUAUAUUGUCUCUUUUUUGCAGGGUGUUUUCAUUGGGUACAGAAUUCUUGGAAAUUACUUUCAGUGCAUUAAAAAUAGCAUGUCUGAUAUUGUGUCUUCUGGCUGCCCUGAUUCUUUAGUCUUAUUUUUGCCAUUCAAAAACAGUCUCCUCUGUUAACUCUCUACCUCUGCCAACCUUUCAGCUUUAAUAAUGUUCACUAUGUGUUUCUGCAGUUUUAAGGUUUUGGUUUUUUUGUCUUUGGUUUUCAGCAGUUUUUCUAUAAUGGUCUAGGUAUGAAUUUCCUUGGGUUUACCUAACUCAAUGUGUGGCACUUCUUGAACCUUUGGCUUUGUUGUUGUUUAAAAAUAAAUUUUGGAAAAUUCCAGUCAUUGUCUUCAGAUAAUGCUUUUAGCCCAUUUUCUUCUGUCAUCUGCUAUUCUAAUUACAUGUAUAUUAACUUGGGUUUCAUAUGUUGCCUUUCCAGUUUUUUUCUUGAUGCUUUAAUCUGGAUACUUCCUCUUCACGUAGCAUCCACUUCACUUUAUCCAUUCAGGUAUACAUGGUAAGCUGUUAAACCCAUAUAUUGAAUACUUUCUUACAGUGUUUCUAUUUUAAAUUAGGUCUUUUUGAUUCACUUCACCCUGAAAUUCUUUGGAUGAUUCAUUAAACAUACUAAUCAGUUAUUCUAAAGUCAUCUGAUAACUACAAUGCCUGAAUUUCCUGUGGGUCUGUUUCUAUUGUUUCUUUGCCCUUCUUAAAUUUUUGGUUAGUUCUUAGUUUUAUAAGCGUGACUAUUUUAGAUGAAUGCUGGGCACUGCAUCUUAAAAGCAUAGCGAUGAUACUGAGCUCUGGGUGAUACCUUCUUCUGUUUACUUUUCUUCCUGGAGGUGGGCAGGGUGAAGACAGAACACCUAGAUACAUGUGGGAAUUAAGUUCUUCCAAAGGUAGCCUUGAGUCUGCAUGAGGGCUGCUGGGUUUCUGGUCUAUUAUGUGUACUGCUUUGAUUUAGCCCUUGGGAAUCCCAGCUGAAGGUCUGGGUAGUUACCCGGGCCCCUUUUCCCUAGCUGGCCAUGAACCAGACCAUCUUUGUGACUAGAUUUAGAUCAGGUGGUUUACUCCUGGAUGUUUUUUGAUACCUUGAUACCGUGUUGCUGUAAUUUCAAGUGACAGCUUGCCAUUAAGUUACUAAUUUUUUUUUCCCUGGCCUGAAUAAAAACAUCACAAUGUCUUACGUUUGCAUUUAAAGACACUUUCCAAGUUUUUCUUAAAUCAUUUAAUCAUCUCAAUAGCCGUCUGAUGAUCCGCAUUCCAUUGAAGUUCUUUCUGGAGACUUACCUGCAGUUGUAAUUGGUGAAUACAUGGGCUCUUUAUUCAUUUAUCUCCUGUCUGUGAAAUGAAUAUUGUGAAAAAUGCAGAUGGGAAGAAGAGGGGGGUACUUGAAAGGAAUUGAGAAGAUUGGAAUUUUAAAGGACUUGGAGACCCAUUGAUAAUGGAAUGAGGAGGGAGUGGUCAUUUUGCUGCAUAAACUGAGACAAUGGUGUU
rnacentral:lncRNA from 1 species